rnacentral:hammerhead_ribozyme from 1 species
AUCCAGCUGAUGAGUCCAAAAUAGGACGAAACGUGCAUCAAACUGGAU